rnacentral:lncRNA from 1 species
CCACGUGAUUUCUUCAGGCCUACUGAAAAUGGAUUAAUCCCGUUUUGGAAAUGGUCAAAGUAUUAUGAAAUGUUGUACAGAAAUUAUUUUAGCUCCUUUCUUUCUGAGGGCCCGCUCCUCUCUGCUGCCCCUCCAGUGCUCCAGCUGCAGGUGUCUGAUCCCAAAAUAGCAUGAACUGGGCUUGUGAAACAAGAGUGUGGAAGGAGUUCAGAACUGUGUUUCUCAGUCUGGGCCUCCACAGGAGGGCAACUAUAAAUAGAUGCAAAGGCAAGGAUAAUUGGCAUGUAAAAAUGAAUAAUGCUGCAAGCUCACCCUAGGAAUUUUAGCGAAAUAAAACUUUUGCGGCAAUUCCACCAACUUGUGUUCUGGUUUUCCUCAUCUGAUUUUUUCCAGAUGUCCCACUUUCCCUUUCUUCUUUGAACAGUAGUACCUUUCCCUGAAGUCCCAAUACCAUAUUGUAUAAAUUAUAUGUAUUCCAACCUGUAAUAACUUUCACAGAUUAAGCAAAAAAAAUUACCACAUAAAAAGAUGAAUGAUCCUAACAAGCCUGGUGCUUGUUGAGUUUUUUAGGGGAAAUUAGGCAUGUUACUAAGUCAAAAGACUUCUAAUCUCAUGGUCCAUAUUCUCCCAGUUAGGUCUUCUACUACAGUGACAGCUUUUGGCCUCUGGACUUGUCACAGUGAAGAGGUGCCUUGAGCCCGGGUAGUUUUUGCAGGAGAGUUGUAAAAGCACACCUUUUUUACCUCAUUCACAGAUAAUGAUUUGACAAAACAUGAGCAGUUACAGGGAAGAGUAACUGCUAACCUACUGCCCAUCCAGACUUUUUCCAGGAAAAAAGACAUAGAAGAAAUGUGUGGAACAACAGAACUUUCUGUUGAGAGGAAACUGGAAAGAAAACAGUUAAUAUGAUCUCUGUUUCUAACUCAUACCACAUUUUGUUUUCUGACUCUUUACAGACACCCACCUCAGACUUGGAUCUGCUGGAAAUUUCCAUGGAUUUCAUAAAAACAGGAUUUGAAACUCUGUUGUGGCAAAAAGACACAGACAUCGUCUUCAGGGUGGUAAUGAAAAAAAGCUAG